rnacentral:rRNA from 1 species
CACGGGGGGAGCAAGCGUUGUUCGGAAUCACUGGGCGUAAAGGGCGCGUAGGCGGCACGGCAAGUCAGGAGUGAAAGCCCUGGGCUCAACCCGGGAACUGCUUUUGAAACUGCCGAGCUAGAGUGCGGAAGGGGCAACUGGAAUUCCCAGUGUAGCGGUGAAAUGCGUAGAUAUUGGGGAGAACACCUGAGGCGAAGGCGGGUUGCUGGGCCGACACUGACGCUGAUGCGCGAAAGCCAGGGGAGCGAACGGG